UUUUUUUUUUUGAGAAAAACGUGGCGCACUACCUGCUUCAUUCAUUAAGUGGAAUGAAUUAGGCGUACAUUUUGGAAGCAGUUAGGGCCUCCGAAGCAACGACAGAAGAGUAAAGUAAAAUAGAAAGGAAAAAAAACAUUGAAGAGGAAAAAAGAAGAAAAAAUAGGGGAAAAAAAACAGGUGUCAUCAGCUUAGCGCAAUCCAGGAUUUCGCUAGUAGUUUGAUCCGUUCUAGCGCUCGGAUGGCGUUCGGGGUCUUUGA
rnacentral:lncRNA from 1 species